rnacentral:rRNA from 1 species
CCUACGGGAGGCUGCAGUGGGGGAUAUUUGACAAUGGGGGGAACCCUGAUCCAGCGACGCCGCGUGAGUGAAGAAGUAUUUCGGUAUGUACAGCUCUGUCAGCAGGGAAGAAAGCAAUGACGGUACCUGACCAAGAAGCCCCGGCUAACUACGGGCCAGCAGCCGCGGUAAUACGUAGGGGGCAAGCGUUAUCCGGAAUUACUUGGUGUAAAGGGAGCGUAGACGGCUGUGCAAGUCUGGAGUGAAAGGCGGGUGCUCAACCCCCGGACUGCUCUGGAAACUGUAUGGCUGGGGUGCAGGAGAGGUAAGCGGAAUUCCUAGUGUAGCGGUGAAAUGCGUAGAUAUUAGGAGGAACACCAGUGGCGAAGGCGGCUUACUGGACUGUAACUGACGUUGAGGCUCGAAAGCGUGGGGAGCAAACAGGAUUAGAUACCCCUGUAGUC